rnacentral:rRNA from 1 species
CCGCCCGUCACACCAUGGGAGUUGACUGCACCAGAAGCAGGUAGCCUAACCGCAAGGAUGGCGCCUACCACGGUGUGGUCAAUGACUGGGGUG